CCUACGGGGGGCUGCAGUGAGGAAUAUUCCACAAUGGGGGCAACCCUGAUGGAGCAACGCCGCGUGCAGGAUGAAGGCCUUCGGGUCGUAAACUGCUUUUGUAUAUGAAGAAUAUGACGGUAAUAUACGAAUAAGGAUCGGCUAACUCCGUGCCAGCAGCCGCGGUCAUACGGAGGAUCCGAGCGUUAUCCGGAGUGACUGGGCGUAAAGAGUUGCGUAGGUGGACAAGUUAGCGAAUAGUGAAACCUGGUGGCUCAACCACACAGACUAUUAUUCGAACUGCUUGUCUUGAGAAUGGUAGAGGUAACUGGAAUUUCUAGUGUAGGAGUGAAAUCCGUAGAUAUUAGAAGGAACACCAAUGGCGUAGGCAGGUUACUGGACCAUUUCUGACACUAAGGCACGAAAGCGUGGGGAGCGAACCGGCUUAGAUACCCUUGUAGUC
rnacentral:rRNA from 1 species